GUUUUCAGUCAGAAGCAGCGUGGAGCUGAUUUUGAGUCAAGUGCCUGCGUCGGAGGCCGGCCAGGGCAAAUAUUUACAUCAACAGCUCCAAGUUUUCAUGUCAGCUGGCUGUUUUUCCUCUUUGUGUUUUUCUGUCUGAGGGGCCUUGUGUUUACAGGCUCAGGCUCGGGUCGUCUCUCUGGUUUUCAUAGGGUUCGGAUGGUUGAUGAAGUGUGGUGAGUCUUAAGCGACAGCCACUCAACCUCAUCACACUGAAUGAGGACUGCUUUGGCUCGGUUGGUCGUCAUUUAAUCAGAAGGUUGCAGGUUCGAUUCCCCAUCUCCUGAAGUCCACAUGUUGAGGUGUCAUUGAGCAAGACAGAACCCCAAACUGUUCCCAGGGGAUGGCUUGAGCACCUUGCCUCUUUUAGGAGUGUGAGUGUGUGAAUGUGAGUGUGAAUGGGUGAAUGUGAUUAAAGAACUAGGAACCAGUCAAGGUGCUAAAUAUGUGGAAUCCAUUUACCAAACUCCAACUAAAUCACAUUUAUUUAUAAAAAAAAAUAGUGUCACAACUAAAUACUGCAAGAAGAUGACCCGUUAGCCACUCGGCGUGUGAGCCGGUAAGAGUGAAUAAUGCCAGGAGCCUCCCGUCUUUACGUAGAGCUCCUGACGGCGAGGAGGACUUUCAGCUGUUCGGCGUAAGUGCAGAACACUUUUAAUAUUGAAUGCCGUGCCAAAUUUGAUCACUGACAUUUCAACAAGCACUCGGGACCAGAAAUACACGCACGCAGCCGGCGGUGCUGUCAGCGGCGCGCCUGUGCACCGCGAACGCCGGCGCACAUAAAGAGUGAAAGAGGCCUCGGUGGCGGCUCUGCAGCUGGCUGACAGAGACAGGUCUGUUUGCAGGCUGCCUGAAAGAUAAUUGGCAGCUAUGGAGUGAAAAGCGGGCUCAGCAACAGAUAAGGGCCGUGUGGAAAGCUCCGUAAUCAGCGCGGAUUAGCAAAUGAUAAAUCAUGGGUUCACACAAGUAUGCUGUCACUGCUGGAAGAGAGAGAGAGAGAGCGAGGGAGAGAGAGAGAGAGAGAGAGAGAGAGACGGUAAUGUAGCUUUAUGGGAAUAAAAUGGCGCCGCAGACAAAACACGAAGAGAGGAUAAUAGCCGUGUUUAGUCUUGAAGGUGUAGCGUCGACCAGAGCUAAAAAUGGAGGACAGAGCAUUGUGGGAACACGCUUUGCUAAAUCAAAGCCUGUCAAAUGGUAAAAACCACGCACUUCCAGCUUCGAAUUCUGCACAUUAUACGUCGCAUGUUUUGUGUGAUGGAGCACGGGUCGCCAUUUUUCCCUUUCUUUUUUCUGCCGCGUCUUUGCUGAGCACCUCCGCAGCGUGAUUUGGAUCACCCCGUCUCGCCUGGAGGUGGCACAGGCAGCAUCUGGGCGGGAUAAAGGUCGAUCAGUAUCCAGGUCAUUCCCAUGCUGGCUCACCCUGCUGGCUCCCACUGAUAACGCAAAUACGAAAUCAGAACCGCCGCCUGCGAUUUCCACCCCUCCGCUUAUUCCCAGUGCCAUUUCUAAAUCUCUCAGUGCGCUUUGCGGGUGGGGCGGGGCGGGGUGGGUGCAGGAGACGGAGGGUGCUUUAAGAUGAUGGCGACGAUGGCCCGGUUCCCUCGCCCCCCUGCUGCUCACUGCUGCAGUCCUGGGUGCAGCGAGUUGGACUGCAGGGUAAACGAGGGAAGCGCUGAUCCCCCCGCGCUCGUCAGCGAUCCCACCACCGCACUGCGUCGACUCGCCAGAUUAAAGACGUGGAUUAUGUGCCAUGAGUGAGCGUUGUGUAACCCUUUGUUUGGGUUUCCAUCACUUGUUUGCGAGACAUUUCUGCACCGUUUUAAUGACUCAAUUAAGGGCCUUAAACAGUGAAAGAGACGAUGAGACUUCCCGAAUUACCAGAAAUAUGCUAGCUGAAGCGCCGAUAGUGGGUGUGAGAAUCGACAAUGCCAGCGUUCAAAAAG